rnacentral:lncRNA from 1 species
GGGAGGCUCGCAAUUAGUUUUUGAGAGGACGGAGGGUGUGCCGGCUACUGUAAAUGAACUACGGGCUAGUUGGAGUCGUCCGCGGUUCGAUAUUUUCAAAUGUAAUGUUGAUGCUGCUUCCUUUUUGAAGCAGGUUGUACGUCAUUUGCAGCGAUUCUCCGAGACCACGAUGGAAAAUUUAUAUCGGGUUAUAUAGAUUGGGUUUGGGAUCCAUAACUUGCAUAGAUUUAUUCUAUUUGGGAAUCGUUGAAAUGGCUUCGUGGGCAGCAUUUGGAUAACUUGAUUGUGGAA